UGGACCUACGGGAGGCAGCAGUGGGGGAUAUUGCACAAUGGAGGAAACUCUGAUGCAGCGACGCCGCGUGAGGGAAGACGGUCUUCGGAUUGUAAACCUCUGUCUUUGGGGAAGAAAAUGACGGUACCCAAAGAGGAAGCUCCGGCUAACUACGUGCCAGCAGCCGCGGUAAUACGUAGGGAGCGAGCGUUGUCCGGAAUUAUUGGGCGUAAAGCUAGUGCAGUCGGUUCCAUUACU
rnacentral:rRNA from 1 species